GGGAGGUUGGCGGCGGACGAAUCCCUCGCCAACCGGGUCAGGUCCGGAAGGAAGCAGCCCCAACGAGACCGGUUCGGGUUGUCGACCAGCCUCCCGCU
rfam:Lutibaculum baratangense AMV1 contig00018, whole genome shotgun sequence.